CUGUGUACGUGUUUGAUCUCCCCAUUAUCAUACAUUGAGAUCUUCUUUGUACAGGGACCGUAUUCAAUUCAUCUUAGUUUCCCUAACUUCUGGUACAUUAUUGGUACAAUGAACAACUCAUUGAUUGAAUCAAUCUUCUUUUCUCCCUCACAGGUCAUCUAGUCCAGCUGCUAAUUUAACUGAUUUGUUAAUUAAGGUCAAGGGAGUUUGUGGGACUUUCUCGCAAAACACCCAGCAAGUUAGUGUCCAUAGUGGGUCUCAAAUCCUGAUCUCCUCUUCUCCUUCUUCCUCUUCCUCCUCCUCCUCCUCCUCCUCCUUCUUUUUCAAAUCCUGAUUUCUUGACUGUCACUCUUCUCAUCUCUGUUCUUACUUUGAUUCAGCUGCCUCAAUUGGUCUAAAAAUAAGCAAUCAUUUGAAUAUCACUAGAACCAGGAAACUGGAGAUAUGCAUCUACUUAUAGAGUCAUGCUUUGAGAGCCACGAUGACUCAUUUAUGAAGAAAACGUGCCCAGGAGCUUUGUCUCAGUCUGUGUUAUAAUUGUCUUUAGAGAGUAGAAGUUUGUGCUUUAUCUUAGCAGGCUGAGCUCGAUGAAAUACCCUGGAAAGCUCUGAGGACUCCUACGUGGAGGUCAGGGAUGCAGAAGCCUCCGUAUUGCUGUUCCAUAUGCCUGUUUGCCCUUCCUAUUAGAAGGCUGGGAAUAUAAUUAGGAGACAGGCACCACAGAUGCCGCAGUUUACAAUAACCAGAAGAAACCGUCGAAACGGUUGGCUGUUUAUGCUUUUUACUCCCACUGUACUGUGAGCCCCUGGAGCAGAAAAAUUGGACAUCAUUCAUGCUUUUAUCCCCAGGACCAGGAAAAAAAAAAAAAAAAAGCCUGCCUGUCCUUAAGGCUGCUACAUGGCCCAGCUCCAGAGGCCCCACUGGAGUCUGCUUUGGAAACUGUGUCUCCCUCUCUCACUCUGUACCGCCCCGGCUCAUUCUCUCUCUCUCUCUCUCUCUCUCUCUCUCUCUCUCUCUCUCU